rnacentral:rRNA from 1 species
UACAGAGGUCUCAAGCGUUGUUCGGAUUCAUUGGGCGUAAAGGGUGCGUAGGUGGCGCCGUAAGUCGGGUGUGAAAUUUCGGAGCUUAACUCCGAAACUGCAUUCGAUACUGCGGUGCUUGAGGACUGGAGAGGAGACUGGAAUUCGAUGGUGUAGCAGUGAAAUGCGUAGAGAUCAUGAGGAAGACCAGUGGCGAAGGCGGGUCGUCUGGACAGUUCCUGACACUGAGGCACGAAGGCCAGGGGAGCAAACGGG